rnacentral:sRNA from 2 species
UGAAAGUGUACCUAGGGUUCCAGCCUGGCAACAGGCGUUCGGUCCGAGCGGUACAGGUAUAUGGGUUUCCAUAUACCACACCUUAGGGAUAAAAGCCCGGGAGGA